AACGCGAAGAACCUUACCUGGGUUUGACAUCCCUGGACAGCCGUAGAGAUACGGUUUCCCCUUCGGGGGCCAGGAGACAGGUGCUGCAUGGCUGUCGUCAGCUCGUAUCGUGAGAUGUCGGGUUAAGUCCCUUAACGAGCGCAACCCUUAUCCCUAGUUGCCACCAUUCAGUUGGGCACUCUAAGGAGACUGCCGGUGUUAAGCCGGAGGAAGGUGGGGAUGACGUCAAGUCCUCAUGGCCUUUAUAUCCAGGGCAACACACGUGCUACAAUGGCCGGUACAGAGGGUCGCCAACCCGCGAGGGGGAGCUAAUCUCAGAAAGCCGGUCUCAGUUCGGAUUGAAGUCUGCAACUCGACUUCAUGAAGCUGGAAUCGCUAGUAAUCGCAGAUCAGAACGCUGCGGUGAAUACGUUCCCGGGCCUUGUACACACCGGUAUCUC
rnacentral:rRNA from 1 species